rnacentral:snoRNA from 1 species
AAGACUAUACUUUCAGGGAUCAUUUCUAUAGUUUGUUACUGAAAAAUGUAUUUAUUGCACCACAUCAUGGUGA